rnacentral:rRNA from 1 species
GACGAACGCUGGCGGCGUGCUUAACACAUGCAAGUCGAACGGACAGGCCCUGCUUUUGUGGGGUGCUCGAGUGGCGAACGGGUGUGUAACACGUGAGUAACCUGCCCUUGACUUUGGGAUAACUCCAGGAAACUGGGGCUAAUACCGGAUAUGAUCUCCUGCUGCAUGGUGGGGGUUGGAAAGUUUCGGCGGUUGGGGAUGGACUCGCGGGUUAUCAGCUUGUUGGUGGGGUAGUGGCUUACCAAGGUUUUGACGGGUAGCCGGCCUGAGAGGGUGACCGGCCACAUGGGGACUGCGAUACGGCCCAGACUCCUACGGGAGGCAGCAGUGGGGAAUAUUGCACAAUGGGCGGAAGCCUGAUGCAGCAACGCCGCGUGCGGGAUGACGGCCUUCGGGUUGUAAACCGCUUUCGACUGUGACGAAGCGUGAGUGACGGUAAUGGGUAAAGAAGCACCGGCUAACUACGUG